rnacentral:rRNA from 1 species
GGAGGGAGCAAGCGUUGUUCGGAUUUACUGGGCGUAAAGGGCGUGUAGGCGGCCUAGCAAGUCGGGCGUGAAAUCCUCUGGCUCAACCAGAGAACUGCACCCGAAACUGCCAGGCUUGAGUAUAGGAGAGGAAAGCGGAAUUCCUGGUGUAGCGGUGAAAUGCGUAGAUAUCAGGAAGAACACCAGUGGCGAAGGCGGCUUUCUGGCCUACUACUGACGCUGAUGCGCGAAAGCCGGGGGAGCGAACAGGGAUUAGAUACCCUGGUAGUCCCGGCCGUAAACGUUGGGCACUAGGUGUAGGGGGUAUCGACCCCCCCCUCUGUGCCGAAGCUAACGCAUUAAGUGCCCCGCCUGGGGAGUACGACCGCAAGGUUG